CCUUCGACAUAACACUUAUGAGAAGCCUUUGUGGCCCCGCAAGGGGUACUAACCGCGACUAUAAAAACUGAUGUUAGUAUUAAAUCGCAAGUCUGCAACAGCAGGCAACACUUUCGAAUUGCGGGAAUCCCCUAAAGCCAUUCUCUAUCAACCAGAGCAGGAAACUGCGCUGGGGCUUGUGGUAACGACACAAGGUACGGUAAAAAUGAGAAUUGGAUACGCGAAUCAGAAAUGGUUGGCAAAAUGGGCAAUCCGCAGCCAAGUCCCUAAGGCACUGCUAUGGGAAAGGUUCACAGACUAAGUGGAAGUGGGCUCAUCAGGGCUUAAGAUAUAGUCGGGUUCCAUAGGAAACUAUGGAAAAUGUUAUUAUUACAUUAUGGAAACCGUUCCGUAGGUGAACCUGCGGAAGGAUCAUUACCAAAUUCUAGCUGCUCCGGUUCAGGCCGGUUGCACGCUUCAACCCUUUGUGAAUCAAAAAUCUUUACGCUUCGGCAGCAGGUCUCAGCUAUAAGCCUGCCGAUGGCACCAAUUUAAAUCUGUCGUUAAAACAUUGUCUGAACUAAAUAUUUUCGAAUGAAAAUCAAAACUUUCAACAACGGAUCUCUUGGUUCUCGCAUCGAUGAAGAACGCAGCGAAACGCGAUAGUUAAUGUGAAUUGCAGAAUUCAGUGAAUCAUCGAGUCUUUGAACGCACAUUGCGCCCAUUGGUAUUCCUUUGGGCAUGUCUGUUUGAGCGUCAUUACAACACCUCAGCGCAAGCUGGUUUUGAGUCGUGAGCUGUUUGUUCCUUCGAACGCUCCCGCUUUAAAGUUGUAAGCUCUGCUGACCUCCAGCUUUGACCGGAAACAUAGUAAAAUCACUGCUUGUUUAUGGAAAGGUUGAGGGG
rnacentral:rRNA from 1 species